rnacentral:rRNA from 1 species
AUUGAACGCUGGCGGCAUGCCUUACACAUGCAAGUCGAACGGCAGCACGGGACUCGGGCAACUGAGCCCUGGUGGCGAGUGGCGAACGGGUGAGUAAUGCAUCGGAACGUGCCCAGUAGUGGGGGAUAACUAGUCGAAAGAUUAGCUAAUACCGCAUACGACCUAUGGGUGAAAGCGGGGGAUUUUCGGGCAACCGAGAACCUCGCGCUAUCGGAGCGGCCGAUGUCNGAUUAGCUAGUUGGCGGGGUAAAAGCCCACCAAGGCUUCGAUCAGUAGCUGGUCUGAGAGGACGACCAGCCACACUGGGACUGAGACACGGCCCAGACUCCUACGGG